AUGAUACCAUAUUUUACAGGUUUGGGCAUAGGUCUUGUUGCUAGUGGCAGCUCGAUCAUUUUACUUUUAGUGCUCGCCGCCCCGUUUAUAGCACGCAAAGUGAAGUUAAAUACGGCAAACAAAUUCAAAAGAAGAUUGUUCAAGCAAAAUCAUGGGUUGCUAUUGCAACAACUAAUAUCCCAGAAAACAGAUUUUGGUGAAAGGAUGAUCAUUUCUUUGUUGGAUCUAGAGAAGGCCACAAACAAUUUUGACAGAACUCGUGAGGCCGGCGGCGGAGGCCACGGUGUUUUGUAUAAAGGAAUUUUAGACCUACAGGUUGUCGCCAUCAAGAAAUCCAAGAUCGUCGUACAGAGAGAAAUUGAUGACUUCAUAAACGAGGUUGCAAUUCUUUCUCAAAUCAAUCAUCGAAAUGUUGUGAAACUAAUCGGAUGUUGUCUUGAGAGAGAAGUCCCCUUACUGGUUUAUGAGUUCAUUUCAAAUGGUACUCUUGAUCACCAUCUUCAUAUUGAAGGCCCGAUGUCACUGUCAUGGGAUGAUCGAACAAGGAUUGCGCUGGAAGUUGCUAGGGCUCUGUCUUAUCUUCAUUCGGCUGCUUCGAUGCCAAUUUAUCAUAGGGAUAUUAAAUCAUCCAACAUACUUCUAGAUACAAUUUGA
rnacentral:rRNA from 1 species